GUUAAACUUAUGAAUAAGAAUAGUAGUUGCAACAUUAACUUUCAAAGAGAGUCACAGGUGGUGUAAUUGUGAUAAAGUGGUUGUAGUGAAUGGGCUUAUGAGGGUCUUCCGAACUUACAUUUAGUAGGAGAGACCGGGAACUCCACCUGUUAGCAAUGGAGCAUAUAUUAUAGUAUAUGAAACGAGUGGGCGUCAUUGCCAAUUUAGGUGGUAUCGCAGGAGUUAUCAAGCUCUUGUCCUUUUA
rnacentral:ncRNA from 1 species